GAGCUCAGUUCAGCAGCACAUGUACUAAAUCGGAAUGAUACAGAGAAGAAUAGCACGGGCCCUAGCAAGGAAGACAUGCAAAUUCAUGAAGCGUUCCACAUAUUU
ensembl:snRNA U6 U6 spliceosomal RNA